rnacentral:rRNA from 1 species
GUCGAGCGAGAAGACGUAGCAAUACGUUUGUAAAGCGGCGAACGGGUGAGGAAUACAUGGGUAACCUACCCUCGAGUGGGGAAUAACUAGCCGAAAGGUUAGCUAAUACCGCGUACGCUCCUUGGACUUCGGUUCAGGGAGGAAAGCGAUGCCGUGGGUAUCGCGCUCUUGGAUGGGCUCAUGUCCUAUCAGCUUGUUGGUGAGGUAACGGCUCACCAAGGCUUCGACGGGUAGCUGGUCUGAGAGGACGAUCAGCCACACUGGCACUGCGACACGGGCCAGACUCCUACGGGAGGCAGCAGUAAGGAAUAUUGCGCAAUGGGCGAAAGCCUGACGCAGCGACGCCGCGUGGGGGAUGAAGGUCUUCGGAUUGUAAACCCCUUUCGGGAGGGAAGAUGGAG